AUUGAACGCUGGCGGCAUGCCUUACACAUGCAAGUCGAACGGCAGCACGGGUGCUUGCACCUGGUGGCGAGUGGCGAACGGGUGAGUAAUACAUCGGAACAUGUCCUGUAGUGGGGGAUAGCCCGGCGAAAGCCGGAUUAAUACCGCAUACGAUCUACGGAUGAAAGCGGGGGACCUUCGGGCCUCGCGCUAUAGGGUUGGCCGAUAGCUGAUUAGCUAGUUGGUGGGGUAAAGGCCUACCAAGGCGACGAUCAGUAGCUGGUCUGAGAGGACGACCAGCCACACUGGGACUGAGACACGGCCCAGACUCCUACGGGAGGCAGCAGUGGGGAAUUUUGGACAAUGGGCGAAAGCCUGAUCCAGCAAUGCCGCGUGUGUGAAGAAGGCCUUCGGGUUGUAAAGCACUUUUGUCCGGAAAGAAAUCCUUGGCUCUAAUACAGUCGCGGGAUGACGGUACCGGAAGAAUAAGCACCGGCUAACUACGUG
rnacentral:rRNA from 1 species